UGGGGAAUCUUGGACAAUGGGGGACAACCCUGAUCCAGCCAUGCCGCGUGAGUGAUGAAGGCCUUAGGGUCGUAAAGCUCUUUCGCCUGUGAAGAUAAUGACGGUAGCAGGUAAAGAAACCCCGGCUAACUCCGUGCCAGCAGCCGCGGUAAUACGGAGGGGGUUAGCGUUGUUCGGAAUUACUGGGCGUAAAGCGCACGUAGGCGGACCAGAAAGUUGGGGGUGAAAUCCCGGGGGCUCAACCCCGGAACUGCCUCCAAAACUAUUGGUCUAGAGUUCGAGAGAGGUGAGUGGAAUUCCAAGUGUAGAGGUGAAAUUCGUAGAUAUUUGGAGGAACACCAGUGGCGAAGGCGGCUCACUGGCUCGAUACUGACGCUGAGGUGCGAAAGUGUGGGGAGCAAACAGGAUUAGAUACCCUGGUA
rnacentral:rRNA from 1 species